rnacentral:piRNA from 1 species
UGGAAAUUAUAAGGUGACUGGGGUC